AAAUAAAUUUGGCUUAAAUUGUUCGCAUUUCGUGAAAGGAUCUUUUGGAUUUUAUAUCCACAAAAUUAUCUGUAACAGGAUAAUAAAAUAUUUAACGCCAAUUUCACAAAUUUCAACUCAAAAGUAGGCAGAAAGUGUUUUUAUUUACCCAGCGGCA